rnacentral:RNase_P_RNA from 1 species
GGUGACAGCGGUAGCUUGGUAAACCCUAUCCGGAGCAAGAUCAAAUAGGAAAGUGGGUUGCCCGCCCUAUACUUUCGGGUUGAUUGCUUGAGCCUGCUGGCAACAGUAGGCCUAGAUUGAUGGUCACCGCUUCAUUUAAUAUGAAGAACAAAACCCGGCUUAUGGUUUACUUCGGCUC